AAUGGUGAUGAUAGCGCAGGUGUUCACCUCUUCCCAUUCCGAACAGAGAAGUUAAGCCCUGUAGCGCCGAUGGUACUGCAUUAAACUGUGGAAGAGUAGGUAAUCGCCAAUC
rnacentral:rRNA from 1 species